UUGUUGUAUAUUAUCUUAGUCAUAAUAUUCUUUACUGGGCUAGUUGAGCUCACCCUUUUCCUUUUUGUUCCAUUUUCUUCUCAGGAGGCGAGAAUAUAGCGAGUACGAGUCGGGGUAUGGAAUGAAGGUUCUAGGGAGAGUUGUUUAGUAGUCCUCACCAUUGUUGUAAAAUAAUGUAUCAAUAUUUAUGAUGAGGAUUUAUUUGUAUGUGGAUAUUGUCUAGAUGGCAAUAUAUGUAUUUAAACUCACAGUUUUACUAUUGUAAUAAUAAAGUUGUAGUUGUUUCUGUACCGUGUUUUGACAACUCAGAAUGG
rnacentral:lncRNA from 1 species